UACGUAGGUGGCAAGCGUUGUCCGGAUUUACUGGGUGUAAAGGGCGUGCAGCCGGGCUGACAAGUCAGAUGUGAAAUCCCGCGGCUCAACCGCGGAACUGCAUUUGAAACUGUCAGUCUUGAGUACCGGAGAGGUCAUCGGAAUUCCUUGUGUAGCGGUGAAAUGCGUAGAGAUAUGGAGGAACACCAGUGGCGAAGGCGGCUUCCUGGUCUGCAACUGACACUGAGGCGCGAAAGCGUGGGGAGCAAACAGG
rnacentral:rRNA from 1 species